AAUAGAUACCCCGGUAGUCCACGCCGUAAACGAUGAGUGCUAAGUGUUAGAGGGUUUCCGCCCUUUAGUGCUGCAGCUAACGCAUUAAGCACUCCGCCUGGGGAGUACGGUCGCAAGACUGAAACUCAAAGGAAUUGACGGGGGCCCGCACAAGCGGUGGAGCAUGUGGUUUAAUUCGAAGCAACGCGAAGAACCUUACCAGGUCUUGACAUCCUCUGACAACUCUAGAGAUAGAGUGUUCCCCUUCGGGGGACAGAGUGACAGGUGGUGCAUGGUUGUCGUCAGCUCGUGUCGUGAGAUGUUGGGUUAAGUCCCGCAACGAGCGCAACCCUUGAUCUUAGUUGCCAGCAUUUAGUUGGGCACUCUAAGGUGACUGCCGGUGACAAACCGGAGGAAGGUGGGGAUGACGUCAAAUCAUCAUGCCCCUUAUGACCUGGGCUACACACGUGCUACAAUGGAUGGUACAAAGGGCUGCAAGCCGCGAGGUCAAGCCAAUCCCAUAAAACCNUUCUCAGUUCGGA
rnacentral:rRNA from 1 species